UCUAAGCCUUGAAUCGCCUCAUGUCGGCGCUGUUCAAUUUCCAUUCGUUUCUGACGGUGGUGCUGCUGGUGAUCUCCACCUGCACCUACAUCGAGAUGCAGUUCCCUGCCAUCCUCGAGCAGAGGACCGGGACUAGGACCUCUCAGCAUGUAGCUAUGCCAUCCACUAGAAGCAAGCGGGGGUUAUGAUGAAUUAGGGCAACUGUUAUCUGCUAAAAUGACAACAUCGACCAGGUCCUACUGGUUAUGAUGUAUUACAAACAAGUGGGUUUGUUUGAUGCUGAAUGUGUCUCUCUUUCUAUGACACAACUUUCUUUUUUCAAGAAUUUAUGUCAGUCCAGUGUCAUGCCUACUAGAGGAUGGACCCUUCUUUGCUCUUUAUAGAUGAACUACUGUUGAAUCUUAUUAGCUUCAACAACAACAACAAUGCCCUAAAGUCCUAACAAUUUGAGAUCGGCUAAAAUCGCUAGUCCUGUUUUAUCUAAACUAUUAUUUGUGUCAUUCUGCCAAAUUUUGUUUUAUCAUUCUCAUUUCUUGAUUAUUAACAAAGGAAGAAAAAUAUAGUUUGUUUACAGUAUAGCUGCAAAAUGAUAUGGUCGUGGCAUUAUCCUCAUCGAUCUUAGAUCGAGUGGGCAAUAGCAAGGAUGCUAGUAAAUGCUUCAAACUUGUUGUUGAAGUAUUCUAAAUUCAACAGAUGAGAAUUAAUAGUAAAAUAGAUUCACCUGACAGGCCUCCCAAUAGAGCUACUAUUACUUUCCUAGCAACCUAGUGGCAAUUAAUUGCAUCUACAACCUUAGGGUAUGGACACAAGGAACCCAAGGUUUUGGGAGGUCCUCCCCUUUCUUGGUGGCAAAUAAUGGCAAGAUUGACACCUUUGUUCCCUUGUCUAUUCUUCCUCUCUCUUCUUUUCUGGUCCAGAUUGGUAAGUUUUGUCCAAUUCCAGGACCAGGCAAUCGGCAGGUGGAUCUUGAUCUGGAUCCACUAGUCCAACCAACUGUGUUCAGCAGUAACAUGGGAAGUGUUUAUUCCAUUCUCUGUCACAUCUCAGCUUAGAGACAAGAAGAGAUGGAUAAAUGUAUAGAGAAGUUUAAACCAUUGAGAAUGAUAAACAUCGGACUCCAGCAAGGAAACCCUUUUUUUGAUUCCUUUAGUUGGUAUCUGAGGAUGCAAAUAUUUGAUUACUUGAGUGCCAAAGACUUUCCCUUCACAUAGUGAUCAGGUACAAUAUAUUUUAAUUAACUUCUUAAGAAAAUAAAUGAUAGUAGAUGUACAGAUGCAUCAUUCUAGUUUUAUGAAAAAAAAUCAUGUAGCAAGUUCAUGCAAGUGUUAUUUCAUUGUUUAUUCAAGGGGAACCUGAUUUCGUGGUGCUGUUGUUUUGUGAUACUGAUAUAUAAGCUAUUAUUAGCAUAGAAAUGACUUAGAUAGUUUAGUCUAAGUGAUAUAUGCCUCCUUAGAGGUUCUAGCUGUUAUUAGCAGACUGAUAUAUGCCUCCUUUCUUUCUUAACACAAUUCGAGAGAAACUACAAUAGCAUGUACAGUUUGAGAAGAUUCCCAUUCUGCAUACCCAAUAUACCUUUACAUUAGAAACCUAAACUUGAGUUUAUGCAUGAUUUCAAACUAUUUUUUUUUCUCCGCACAUUACUGUCAAGAUCCGGGCUUGAUAAGUUAAUUGAUUCAUUAAUUUUUAUUAACCUAAAUUAUUGAUCAAAAUGUUUAGAUUGAAAUCGAUAAUAAUAUAUUCAUCAUAUUCUUAUAAAUCAAUUUUAGUUUUAUCACAUGCGACUAAUAAGAAUGUUACAUUAUAUGAUGGCAUGUCA